rnacentral:rRNA from 1 species
CCUACGGGUGGCAGCAGUGGGGAAUAUUGCACAAUGGGGGAAACCCUGAUGCAGCGACGCCGCGUGAGUUAAGAAGUAUUUCGGUAUGUAAAGCUCUAUCAGCAGGGAAGAAAUACUGACCUUACGGUCAGCAGACGGUACCUUACUAAGAAGCCCCGUCUAACUACGUUCCAGCAGCCGCGGUAAUACGUAGGGGGCAAGCGUUAUCCUGAUUUACUGGUUGUAAAGGGAGCGUAGACGGCAGCGCAAGUCUUAAGUGAAAUCCCAUGGCUUAACCAUGGAAUGGCUUUGGAAACUGUGCAGCUGGAGUGCAGGAGAGGUAAGCGGAAUUCCGAGUGUAGCGGUGAAAGGCGUAGAUAUUAGGAGGAACACCAGGGGCGAAGGCGGCUUACUGGACUGUAACUGACGUUGAGGCUCGAAAGCGUGGGGAGCAAACAGGAUUAGAUACCCGGGUAGUC